UUAACUAAAACCAAAGUAGAGGUAUUUCACUGUUAAUGAAAUUAUUGAUUCAAAAUCUAGUUAAA
rnacentral:tRNA from 1 species